AUCAACUUUCGAUGGUAGGAUAGAGGCCUACCAUGGUUUUAACGGGUAACGGGGAAUUAGGGUUCGAUUCCGGAGAGGGAGCCUGAGAAACGGCUACCACAUCCAAGGAUGGCAGCAGGCGCGCAAAUUACCCAAUCCCGACACGGGGAGGUAGUGACAAUAAAUAACAAUACGGGGUUCUUUCGGAUCUCGUAAUUGGAAUGAGUACAAUUUAAAUCUCUUAACGAGGGACAAUUGGAGGGCAAGUCUGGUGCCAGCAGCCGCGGUAAUUCCAGCUCCAAUAGCGUAUAUUAAAGUUGUUGCAGUUAAAAAGCUCGUAGUUGAAUUUCGGGAUCAAUGUUUCGGUCAUGCCGUUGGUAUGUACUGAUAUUAUUGGUUUCUCACCUUCUAAAGAACCGUAAUGCCAUUAAUUUGGUGUCACGGGGAAUUAGGACUGUUACCUUGAAAAAAUUAGAGUGUUUAAAGCAGGCUCACGCUUGAAUACAUUAGCAUGGAAUAAUGAAAUAGGACAUCCGAUUCUAUUUUGUUGGUUUCUAGGAUCGAUGUAAUGAUUAAUAGGGGUAGUUGGGGGCAUUAGUAUUCAAUUGUCAGAGGUGAAAUUCUUGGAUUUAUUGAAGACUAACUACUGCGAAAGCAUUUGCCAAGGAUGUUUUCAUUAAUCAAGAACGAAAGUUAGGGGAUCGAAGACGAUCAGAUACCGUCGUAGUCUUAACCAUAAACUAUGCCGACUAGGGAUCGGAUGAUGUUAAUUUUUUAAUGACUCAUUCGGCGCCUUACGGGAAACCAAAGUGUUUGGGUUC
rnacentral:rRNA from 1 species